GCACCUUCUAUUCCCAGAAUCACUAGGCGCCGGCGCCUCCGAGGCAGUGUGUUUCCGCCCAGAGCUGGAGUCUCCCAGCUGCCAGCCGACCCCGAACCCGCACUCCCGCCAACCGCGCUUUUUGUGGGCGGUCGGAAACCACAGCCUCCGUUGGAUAUGUUCGGUGCAUGUUAUAAACAACCACUUAAACCCUCCGGAUCUGAGCCUCCCGCAGAGGAAUGCAGAAUGACGCCACGGCACGCAGGAUGUGAUGUCACCGAGAUGCAGAGGAUACUCAGUCAACCAACAUUUACUGAGCAUCUACUUCGUGCCGUAUGUCUUGUCAACGGAAAGGGGUCCCUAUCCAGACCCCAAGAGAGCAUUCUUGGAUCUCUUGCAAGAAAGAAUUUGAGGCGAAUCCAUAGAGUAAGCUUAGUGAUGUGUGUCAGACCUCUGAGCCCAAGCAAAGCCAUCAUAUCCCCUGUGACCUGCAUGUAUACAUCCAGAUGGCCUGAAGCAAGUGAAGAAUCACAAAAGAAGUGAAAAGGGCCGGUUCCUGCCUUAACUGAUGACAUUCCACCAUUGUGAUUUGUUCCUGCCCCACCUUAACUGAGCGAUUAACCUGUGAACUUCCUUCUCCUGGCUCAGAAGCUUCCCCACUGAGCACCUUGUGACCCCCGCCCCUGCCUGCCAUAGAACAACCCCCUUUGAUUGUAAUUUUCCUUUACCUACCCAAAUCCUAUAAAACGGCCCCACCCCUAUCUCCCUUCGCUGACACUCUCUUUGGACUCAGCCUGCCUGCACCUAGGUGAUUAAAAAGCUUUAUUGCUCACGCAAA
rnacentral:lncRNA from 1 species